CCUAGAGCACCCAAGGCUUGCCCCAGCCUGGUUCAGUGUGCUCUGGUUUCUUGUCAAGAGAAACCAGUGGCUUUUGAGACACUUAGGCGCCUCUUGCUUACAGUAUUCUCCAUCUUUGUGAGCUGAGAGUGCAGCCAAUAAUAUAUGCCCGCCCAUUCCAUCACCAGAGGUAUUGGUUCUCUUUCUUCUUUCAGGAGUGCAAAGUAGUUUCGAGGUGGGGAAAAUUCAUCUUUACUUAAGUUCUCAACUAUUUGGCUAUCUGGGAGGCCACCUGUAGGUUAUAACCAUGACAGGCCAGACCUCCUACCAGAGGAAGCUAAUUGUACAUCCUUCUGAAACUGAUUAUACAACUUGUACUACAGUGGAACCUCUAUUUACAGACAUAAUCCAUUCCGGAGGUCUGUCAGCUGGUCAAAACAGGAUGCUAGAAGAGGUGUCUUGUGUGCGUGCGUAUUCGGUGGCAGCGCGCUUCUGCACAUGCACAGAUGGCAGAAGCCACUGCUGCGCAUGCGCGAAUUGCGGCAAACCCAGUGUUUACUUCCGGGUUUGCCGCGGACGCAACUUGGAACAUCUGCGAGACAAGGUGCAUGUAAGUCGAGGUUCCACUGUAUUUCUCAAAACAAAUCUACUUCUUCUACUUACAGGGGAGACAUAAGGGAGCUUAGCCUGGGCACUGAGGUUCUCCUAACUACUGGAAAUCUACUGGGAUUUCAGCAGGUAUUGUCUAUGCACUCCCAAGCAUCUCUUUGCAAACUGUUAUUUGGCGUUUCUCAUGAAGAAUAGAUGUUACAGCCAGGUGUGGAGAGGUCAGUGGCCUCCCAUGUGAAUAAGUUAAUAACAUUCGGCUGCUGCCAGUAUGUCAAAAAGAGAAUGAUGGCUCUACAGAGAAUUCUCCAGGAUUUCUGUUGCAUCUGGUCUGUAUCCUGUUGCUGUAAUGACUCCCUAUUUUUUAAAGGCACUUAAGGCACAUAAAGACAACAACAUGUACUUUUUGCAAGAACAUUGUGUCUGAAACAUUUCAACCAUGAUUUAACUAGAGUGCACUAAGCAAUUAUUAUGUUACAAUGAUAUCAGAAUGCAUCUGAGUAGCCAA